UGGCCAUAUGAUAUUGAAACACUAGUUCCCAUAUGAUCACUGAAGUUAAGCAACAUCGAGCCUAGUCAGUACAUGGAUGACCACUUGGGAAUACCAGGUGCU